ACCCUCAAAAUAAAUAAAUAAAUCUCCAUAGUUACAGAGCGGCAGUGUGGCGAGUGACGCCGCCUCUCACGGCGGCGGCGGCUGGCCUGCUGCCCUGCUGAUGAGGCCUCCCUCUGUUGGCUGCGGCGCCGUCGAGCCUCGAGCGGCAGCGGGCGGGUAUGAGGAGAGGCUAUGGUGUGAGAAGUGGGCAGGGAGGAGGAGGCUCGGCACAUUGAUCCCACUGAUGCUUUUCCUCCUCUCCGGAGCGAUGAGCGUCGCAGCUUCCCGGGAGGGUCCAGAUCAGUCAAGUUUUCUCUAGGGGGCCACUUACAUUGUCCAAAAGGUUUUGCUAGAUGAUGUCGGCCUGCUCUAUAUUUGUGCCACUCCUGAACGUUUCUUUGCUGCAGGCCAUGCUUUAGCAGUUAUGGUUGUUUCACUGCCUUCGGUGACGCUGCUGAAGACAAUUAUUCAUUGUUACCUCAGGCUGAUAAUCCUAGGGCUCGUGUGGUGCUUGCCUUCCCAUCAUGCUGAGAGAUGCGAUAACUGUCUCGGGCUAAGUCUUGUCCCGAGCUAUCUGGCGUCACAAAUUUGUUGUUUGUCCACUGAAGCAGAUGUCGCCAAGAUUGAAAGUUCCAACCAUGCGCUAAAUGUAUUUUCUUGCUGAAAACACAGGGGGAGCCUUCAGCAUAGCAUUGUCUGAUUCAUCUGUUGGCAACUCUGGCAGUUGGGAGUCCUGAUCUGGGCCCAGAUGGUACUAGCCAGCCUAGGUGUAGACCGAUCUGGUUGCUGCAGUUCGCUACAAACGACAACGCCAUCUUACCCCGAACUGCACAAUGCUAUGGUUUCCGUUUCAGAAAACAAAAGACAGCCUGCUUGAAUAAUAACCCUUCAGCUUUCAGUGUUGCGAACAGCUGUAAUAAAUAGGGGAAGAACCCUUAUACAUGAUCCUUUUCUUUUGAUGCAUUUGGGUGUUAUAAUUGAACAACUCCUUUAUGACUCCUUUUGGACCAUACCUGAGUGGUGCUGUAUUCCUGUUGAAAUUGUGGUAGAACUUGUGAAUUGCCAUGUCAUGGAGAUUGUUGUUUUGUUGGAUUAUA